rnacentral:rRNA from 1 species
AGGACGAACGCUGGCGGCGUGCCUAACACAUGCAAGUCGAACGGAGUACCUUCGGGUACUUAGUGGCGGACGGGUGAGUAACGCGUGAAUAACCUGCCUUAUACUGGGGGACAACAGUUGGAAACGACUGCUAAUACCGCAUAAGCGCACUAAAGCUGCAUGGCUCAGUGUGAAAAACUCCGGUGGUAUAAGAUGGAUUCGCGUCUGAUUAGCUAGUUGGUGAGGUAACGGCUCACCAAGGCGACGAUCAGUAGCCGGCCUGAGAGGGUGAACGGCCACAUUGGGACUGAGACACGGCCCAAACUCCUACGGGAGGCAGCAGUGGGGAAUAUUGCACAAUGGGGGAAACCCUGAUGCAGCGACGCCGCGUGAGUGAAGAAGUAUUUCGGCAUGUAAAGCUCUAUCAGCAGGGAAGAAAAUGACGGUACCUGACUAAGAAGCCCCGGCUAACUACGUG